rnacentral:sRNA from 1 species
CAUCAACGAUCUGAUCUUGUUUAAGAUAUUCUUACGUUUGUUGAGACCGCCGUCGUUUGUGUGGGGCGAAGACGCCAUCGGAGAUACGGAGGUUGUUGAAGAAGAAGACGAGUGAAGAAGCUCCAAUGAGCUUUUGUAAUUUUGAUAUCAAAUUUAUCACAAUUGUUGUUGAUUGUUUGAAGAAUCGGGUGAAGAAGAAGAUGAUACCGGUUUAGAAUCAAACUUAAUGGUUUAUAUAUUCGGUUUACUUUGGGUUUAAAGCACAAACCGAUAUAACCCAGAUUUAGGGACAUUAAGCUAUAGAACUUUCAAUUCAGAGGGAAAUAAGAAGACAACUUUGAUUUCAUGGAUAUAUAGACCAGAGUUAAAGAAUGGGCUCUAUCUAGUAUGAUGUGAUAGUUCUCGUGUGGAAAUAGACCGUUUUUUAUAAAGUUAUCCUCAUAUUUGGAUUGGGUUGUAUUAGGAUUUUAGUCAUUCUUAAUCAAUAUAUAUAUCUC